rnacentral:rRNA from 1 species
CCCUUAGAUGUUCUGGGCCGCACGCGCGCUACACUGACGAAUUCAACGAGCUUAUAACCUUGGCCGAAAGGUCUGGGUAAUCUCCAAAUUUCGUCGUGAUGGGGAUAGAUUAUUGCAAUUAUUAAUCUUCAACGAGGAAUGCCUAGUAAGCGCAAGUCAUCAGCUUGCGUUGAUUACGUCCCUGCCCUUUGUACACACCGCCCGUCGCUCCUACCGAUUGAAUGGUCCGGUGAAGCGUUCGGACCGUGGCCUUUGGACGGUUCGCCGUCUGUUGGCUGCGGGAAGUUCGUUAAACCUUAUCAUUUAGAGGAAGGAGAAGUCGUANCA